rfam:Fusobacterium varium ATCC 27725 genomic scaffold supercont2.5, whole genome shotgun sequence.
AUUAUUAAAAAAUAAAUUACUCAUAUAUCCCUGUAAUAUGGUCAGGAGUCUCUACGGGUUGCCAAUUAACAAGCCGCUAUGGGUGAAUUUAAUAGUCCU